rnacentral:lncRNA from 1 species
UAGUAGUACAUUUACAACUAAAAUGAAAAAUAAGUCUAAAAGUACAUGCUUUAGUUAAUUUAUAGAUUUUAUAAUAUUACAAUAAAUUUUAAUAAUUUUAUAGAAACACUGUAAUUUAUUGUUCUAAUUUAUUGUCUACUUACAAUCUAAGUAGACAAGACACGCUGUUUCUCAAGGUUUUGUAUUGGAAUAUCUUGUGUGAACUAUUUUGACUCUCUACAGCCAUAUAAUAUUGAUAGAAAAUACACACUCUUUUUUUUGCCUUUGUGAAGCCUGCUUCUGCUUCUAUGUAUACAUAUUUGUAUAUCAGUGAAUACAUGCCAUGCUAGACAGGUUAUCAGGGAUUGUUCAGAUAAGCAAUUGAUUUCUGCACCAAAGGCACUUAGAUACUAAGUUAUCAUGGACACCAAAGAAAACCCUAAAAUAAAUACACAGAAAAGUUCUACACAUCUGUCUUACUCUGACAUAUAUGUAUACUUUCCUCCUGCAAAUCCUGGUAAUCAAUGGUGUCCUAAGAAGGGCAUAUUUUGUACCCAGUUCAACUCUGAAAGAUAAGUGGAGACUUUGAAAUCUCACGGAACUUCUACUAUGCUUAUUUUCCAUUCUUCUUAACAGGCCAGUAACCCAGGGGUCCCAUGGGUAGAACUGAACUGGUCACAUAAAGUCUUCUUGGUUGUGCUAUUCCACUGCUACCUUUGUGACAGUCUAGGUGGUAUGUGAAUAGCCAAAAAGCACAUCAAGUGCUACAUAACAAUGCAACUGCUAUUGCUUUAUUUUAGAAACUAACCUCUUGGAGAUGAUAACUCAAUGGAAGCUAUUAUUGCAAUCUCUCUCAAGCAGCAAGAGACAACAAGCCAGGAUAAUCACUCCCACUUAUGGCUCAAUACAGGUGCUGACAGAGGUAUCACUAAGUUCCAGGAAAGCACUUUUGAAGAUAAUCCUAAACUCCAGGGAGAAGUGUCAUCCAUAUUUGAUGUGUGCAAAGGCUGAAAUACCAUUUUAUCCAAUAACUGAAGACUACAUUUUUUUCUUGUAUGAACGUAUGAUGUGCACUCAAGAAAAUUCAAAGUUAACAAGACUCAUACUGCAGUUUAGAAGAAAGAAAACAAGUUGCAUUAAAUGACAUUUUCCUGUUUUAAGAGAACUGGAUGAUCAAUUAGCAUCUGUUUACUGAAAAGCUUAAUUUGCAAUAAUAAUAAUAAAUCAUGUUUGGGAUGACUAUUGUAAGAGUUC